UCGUACGAGAGUUUUUAACUCAAGUGGCGGACGGGUGAGUAACACGUGAGUAUUUACCUUUAGGAGGGGGAUAACAACUGGAAACGGUUGCUAAUACCCCAUAUGCUUUAGAGUGAAAUGGAUUUAUCCGCCUAAAGAAAAGCUCGCGGCUGAUUAGCUAGUUGGUGAGGUAAUGGCUCACCAAGGCGACGAUCAGUAUCUGGUUUGAGAGGACGAUCAGACACACUGGAACUGAGACACGGUCCAGACUCCUACGGGAGGCAGCAGUGGGGAAUUUUCCGCAAUGGGCGAAAGCCUGACGGAGCAAUACCGCGUGAGGGAAGACUGCCUAUGGGUUGUAAACCUCUUUUUUCAGGGAGGAAUAAAUGACGUGUACCUGAAGAAUAAGCAUCGGCUAACUCCGUGCCAGCAGCCGCGGUAAGACGGAGGAUGCAAGUGUUAUCCGGAAUCACUGGGCGUAAAGCGUCUGUAGGUUGUUGUUUAAGUCAACUGUUAAAUCUUGAGGCUCAACCUCAAAAUCGCAGUCGAAACUAUUCAACUUGAGUAUAGUAGGGGUAAAGGGAAUUUCCAGUGGAGCGGUGAAAUGCGUAGAUAUUGGAAAGAACACCGAUGGCGAAGGCACUUUACUGGGCUAUUACUGACACUCAGAGACGAAAGCUAGGGUAGCAAAUGGGAUUAGAU
rnacentral:rRNA from 1 species